GUCGAACGGGGUCGGAACUUCGGUUCCGGCUUACGUGGCGCACGGGUGAGUAACACGUGGGAAUCUGCCCAUCUAUGGGGAAUAACUGCGGGAAACUGCAGCUAAUACCGCAUACGCCCUUCGGGGGAAAGGCUUCGGCCGUAGAUGGAUGAGCCCGCGUCCGAUUAGCUAGUUGGUGGGGUAAAAGCCUACCAAGGCGACGAUCGGUAGCUGGUCUGAGAGGAUGAUCAGCCACACUGGGACUGAGACACGGCCCAGACUCCUACGGGAGGCAGCAGUGGGGAAUAUUGGACAAUGGGCGAAAGCCUGAUCCAGCAAUGCCGCGUGAGUGAUGAAGGUCUUCGGAUUGUAAAGCUCUUUCGACGGGGAAGAUAAUGACGGUACCCGUAGAAGAAGCCCCGGCUAACUUCGUGCCAGCAGCCGCGGUAAUACGAAGGGGGCUAGCGUUGUUCGGAUUUACUGGGCGUAAAGCGUGCGUAGGCGGCUUGUCAAGUCAGAAGUGAAAGCCCGGGGCUCAACUCCGGAACUGCUUUUGAGACUGGCAGGCUUGAGUUCGGGAGAGGGUAGUGGAAUUCCCAGUGUAGAGGUGAAAUUCGUAGAUAUUGGGAAGAACACCGG
rnacentral:rRNA from 1 species